UUCAGUGAGCCUUACAGGAGCAAGUUGCACUCAUUAGAGGAGCAGCAGGUCGACUUGGCUCAUGACAUAGACAAGAUUAAAUAUGACCAAGAAGAGGAAGAAGAUCAAGGCCCACCAUGCCCCAGUCUCUGCAUGGAACUGGUGGAAGCAGAAGGACCUGAAGUCUUCCGGUACUCACUGGAUAUAUUGUAUUCAACGUAUACAGCUUAUCCUGAGUUUUACUACACAUGCCACGAUUACACAUAUGCCAUUUUUUUACUUGUGGAAGAGCAUGUUCGCUUGACUUUGGACAUGGACAGUAGGUUUCUUACUAUGACGGUGAU